ACAUAUGGAGGUUCUCAGGCUAGGGGUCCAGUUGGAGCCACAGCUUCCGUCCUACACCACAGCCACAGCAACACAGGAUCUGAGCCAUGUCUGCGACCUACACCACAGCUCAUGGAAACACCAGAUCCUUAACCCACUGAGCAAGGCCAGGGAUUGAGAACCUGUAACCUCAUAGUUCCUAGUUGGAUUUGAUUCUGCUCUGCCAUGACGGGAACUCGCCCAAACAGUAGAUAUUUCUGAAGAGCCAAUAUUCCUGAAGAGCUCAGGUUUUUUUUCCUUUUGAUCACUCCUUACUCAGCACAGCUAAUAACAGAAUGAAAUAAAUCUCAUAAAGAUAUGUUUCCCAGUCACUGAACUAUUAUUUUUCUCCACAGGCAGAGGUUACCCAUCAGUUUUAAUGCUUGAAAUGUCAGAAUGAAAAAGUCACCAGGAAUGGGUGCUGUGGAAUGUUCUGUGGAGCAGAAAGAUGUGCACAGGGGUAUCACCAUGAAGUCACAGUUUUACGGUCAUUUCUCUACCUUCUAUUUCUGUUACAGAGUCAAAAAAAACUUGAAGGGUGUCCAUAAAUUCAAGCAACUCUUUGUCACUUCAUCUUGAAAUGGAUGUCUUGUUAUCAUGCAAUCAGCCAUGUUAAACUCCAGGAAUCCCUUUUAACUUUGACUAAAGUGGCAUACUAGUUAAAAAUGGAGAGUAUAAGCAUGUCUUAUUCUAGGAGUUCCUAUCAUGGGGCAGCGGAAACGAAUCCAACUAGGAAUGAUGAGGUUGCAGGUUCGAUCCCUGGCCGUGCUCCGUGGGUUGGGGAUCCGGCGUUGCCGUGAGCCGUGGUGUAGGUUGCAGAUGCGGCUUGGAUCCUGUGUUGCUGUGGCUCUGGUGUAGGCCAGCGGCUAUAGCUUGAUUAGACCCUUAACCUGGGAACCUCCAUAUGCCACAGGAAGUGGCCCUAGAAAAGGCAAAAAGACAAAAACAACAACAACAACAAAAAGCACCAAGUAUUCUACAUCUUCACUCCUUGGCGGUCAGUGGCUAGUGACAGAGGAGGGGGACCACUUACUCCAACUGGUCAUGUUAUUCUUCAGACCCUGAGACCCCCAGAGGGGGAGUCAAGGGGUAGAAGAAGGUUUUUUUUUUUUCCAAGUGUUUUCUCCUCUUGGCAAUGGGACUAGCUUAGCUUCCAGUGCUUUUUGUUCCUGAAGUUACUUUGUAUUAAAUUUCAUCCAGAAAAAUGUCCAGCCAUGGGAUCAAGUUCUGCAUCAGAGAUGAGAGAGCUGGACAGUCCUUAAACCUCUCCUCCCUGAAGCACCCCGCAUCUCCGGGAUGCUCAGCAGGGCUCAGGCACAUGUUGACAGGCCCAGAGGGGGCCCCAUGACUUCACUUCCAUGGUCACGGCCCCACUAGGUGAGUCUAUGUGGGGUCUAGACUCAUGGCCCUUCUACCAGCUACCACAUCAGCUCUUCUUGACUGCCAUCCAUUUGGAGGGUUUUUAAGCUUUUCAGAUGAUGUUGAUCAAGCAGCAAUAAUAUUCUAGGUCAAUGCCACCCUCAAGGUCCAAGGUGAGAGAGUCACCAGACUAGGCACAGGGCACACUAACAUCUUUCAGAAGAAUAGAAAGCCCUGUCCCCACUGUCUUCACAGGGGAUCCUAGAAGGUUCAGGAAAUUGGAAUUGAUUCACAUUUCUCUGUCCACCUUUGUUUCUAGUGGUCAUUUUCAUGUUAUUGUCAACAAGUGUCUUAACCUUUCAAUGAGUUUUGGGAGGGGCCAAGUACAGUUGACCCUUGAACUACACAUUUGAACUGUGAGGGUCCACUUAGACUUUUUUUUUCCCAUCUUUUUGUCUUUUUAGGGCUGCACCCGUGGCAUAUGGAGGCUCCCAGGCCAGGGGCUGAAUUGGAGCUGUAGCCUCCAGCCUACACCAGAACCACAGCAAUGCUGGAUCCAAGCCACAUCUGCGACUUACACCAUAGCUCACGGCAAUGCUGGAUCCUUAACUCACUGAGCGAGGCCAGGGAUCAAACCCACAUCCUCAUGGAUGCUAGUCGGGUUCAUCAACCACUGAGCCAUGAUGGAAAUGCAAUAAAGGGCACCGUAAGUUAUGUUCAGAUUUCCCACUGCAAGGAGGGUUGUGCCCCUAACCCCUGAAUUGUUUAAGGGUCAGCUGUAUUCACUGCACUUGUUUAUCCACUCAUCCAUCAGCAGACAUUUGGGUUGUUUACCCUUCAGCUAUUGUAAACAAUGGUGUUACAAACACUGACGUGCAAAUAUCUGUUCAAGUCCUGCUUUCAGUUUUUUUGGUUAUGUACUUGGAAUUGGAAUUGUCAGUUCAUGUGGUAAUUUACAGUUAUGUUUUUUGAGGAGCCAUCAUACUGCUUUGCACUUUUUAUUUUAUUCACCACUCAUGGUAAAAAGUUGUAGAGAAGAUAUAAAACAAUAUCUAAGUAUGUAUGGUCUGGACCCUGGAUAUUUUGGCCUGUACUCUUUUAAAGCACUCUGUCUUCUGCUAGGGUGAAAAAUUCCUUACAAAGGCAGAAGUGUAUUUUAAUCAUUUUUAUUAGGUAUUUCAAGUCCUUUACUUUUAUCCAAGCUCUUCACUCAGUUUCCAAGUUUUCCCACCCUUGGUUAUUCUUUGUACCAUUAACUUCAACCACCUUGACCCCUUUUCACUUCCCUAGCAAUUGCUCUUCAAUGUCGAAUCACUACGAUUUAGCAUCUUGUUUUAUCCUCCAUCAGAACAUUUCCUUUUCUACUGGCUAAUGAUCCAUGACAAGGGAAAAACACCAAAAGGGAGCUGGGUCCCCACACCUCAUAAAUUGCUCCAAGGAAGGCCUUCAUCCUCUUCCUUUCCCACUGGGGGAAUUCAACUGGAGUGACUUUGGAACAUAAACACCGACUCUGAGAGGUGCCACAGUGGCUCUGAAUUAGCUAGAGAAGCCUUGGUCAGGAAAAGCAAAAACGUCUGCAUGGAAUGAUAAAUCUUCCAAAGGCCUCUGAGAAACUGGUCCUCCAUCUGUACAAAUCAGAAAGUUUGGACAUUGUGCAAAAGUCCCAUGAAAACCCAUCUAGCUUUAUCCUGAAGCGAUUCCAGCUUUCCACAUUUAUGUGGAUGAUCAAGUGUGUCGGUGAGUCUUGGAAAAAGGGAUAGAGGAGAAUUACAGCCAAUACUCUAGGGCCUGGUUUGGUGAUAGGAAGAUGGUUGUGAUGAUAGACGAAUUGUGUGAGGCAGGAGAAGCUUGACAGAGAUAAGUGGGUGCCCUGAGGAAGUUAAUCAAUUUUAAAAAUUCUAAAAUUAAAUUUAAUAAGCAAAAUAAAGAUGCCAUUAGAUAAAAUGUGUUAAAGGAGUAUUUUAGGGGAGAAAUAUGAACAAUCAGAGUCAAACAGAGCUGGGGAAAAAAAAAAACCAUGAUGGUGCUGGACAGGAAAGUUAUCCUUUUACUUUGGUUAAGGGGACAUGUGAAUAACAAGUAAAGGGUGUGAGGAAGGGCUCUGUGGUGCUAGUAAAGUUCUGUUGCUUGAUUUGGGUGGUGGCAAAUACAAAAAUUCACUAGCUGAACACAUGAUUUGUGCCUUUUUCCUUAUGUAUGUUAUACUGUAAAAGUUUUUUAGAGGUAGCAUUUCUGGAAUGAUAGAAUAAGGUCUUCCAAAAUCCAUUUCUCCAUAAA
ensembl:lncRNA